UCUUACUCUGUAGUGAUAUUGGACUGCUAAGGCUGGCCCUGUCCUUCUUCACGUGAACUCCAGGAAAACAGCGGUGCCUAUGGAACCAACGGCUCGCGCCACAGCAGCUGACACUGGGGAAGCGGCUCAGCUAUCAGACUAGCGUUCACCUCAUCCUGUGGGUCCCCUGUGCCUACGGAAUCUGGGUCUAGUCUGGACCUUCUUGCCUGACUGAAUUCUGGCAGUCUCUGAGACCGCAGUGAGCAGUAACCACGGCUCGAGCUCCGGUCAGCUCCGGUCUGGGACGCCCUUCCUUCUCAUCACCUGCAAGCCUUCACGACUACAUAACUCCCCUUGGAACAAGCUGCAGUAGAGCCCUCCCUGCUCCCCCACCCCCACCCCGUGUGGGCUGCUGCCCUGGGGCUGUCAGUGAGACAGGGUGCGGCCAACCUCCAACAGCAUGGAUGUGAUUGACAGUUGUUCUCAUAAAUCACCUAUCCAGCAGGUUGUGGACCCUGGAACUCAUCUGUGUCAGGAGCAUUAACACUUCACACGUUCCUACGGAGAAGUCUGACAGGCCGACAAGCGGGUAGAAAAGCCUGGAUCGGUUCCUCCAGGUCACCGAGGAGUGAAGCAAUUGUGAGCUGCAUCCUUCUGGCAAAAACACUUCCCCUCCACGUUACAAUAAAAACCCAAUUUCAUAGUAUGCAAUAUAAAUGUUAGGGGCGCCUGUAAGCGUUCAUUUUUCCAUUGCAACCUUGGGAUAUUCUUACUAGCAAAUGGGCUUGUUUUCAAUAAACGGUGAAAUAAAAAUCACGGUCCCUAAGUUGAGGUGGAAAACAACACUUAACGACUCCUUUUGCUGCUUAUGCCAGCUCGUUUUCCCCUUCAGCACACGGCACGCAUAAACGCUGAUAGAAAGGGCAGUAGCUUGUAUUUUGGGACCAGGGUGUUUUGAUGAUAGCGGUCCACUGAACCCUGGGUGGAAUGUCUCGGUUGCACUUAAAUGUUAGCGAGAUGAGCCGACUAUGCCAGGAAAUGUCUUCAAAGAAGGAUCAAGUUAUGCAAUGUAAGGUCAAGGGUGAGGUUGUGUGGCCCUCCUCGCCUCCCUCUCCAAACUUCUAGACACAACAAGUAUUGCUCCAAGUUGCCUGGAGCCUAAGGGUCAGGAAAACUAGGGCAGAAUGUAUCAUGUCACGGGUAACAGAUGCAUAAACCUGAGGCCCUUCUGGGCCAUGGAGGCCACCUUCCUUGUUAUACAGACUAAGGCAUGAAGAAGCUGUAUGUUGUACUUACAGGGACUAGUGAGGAAUCAGGUGGAAACAGAAUCCUGACCCCCAGCCAUUCUGCUGUCUUUUGUGGAAGCCAUGAAUCCUGAA